GCAAACUUGGUCAUUUAGAGGAAGUAAAAGUCGUAACAAGGUUUUCGUAGGUGAACCUGCGGAAGGAUCAUUACUGAAGUCCAGGGGGAGUGCUGGCCAUAUCGGCAUGUGCACCUUCCUUUCUUCAUCCACACACACCUCUGUGCACCCAUUGAGGCGGGAAUUCCCAUGUCUGGAGCAGGCCUGGUCUGGCCCAUGGCUGGAUUUAAGGGGUUCCUUUGACCCCUGGCCCGAAGACCCGCCUACACUUUUCACAAACACUAUGUAUGACUCGGAACGUAGUCGCGGCUCGCCGCAAAAAUCUAUACACAACUUUCAACAACGGAUCUCUUGGUUCUCGCAUCGAUGAAGAACGCAGC
rnacentral:misc_RNA from 1 species